rnacentral:snRNA from 1 species
AUACUUACCUGGCAGGGGAGAUACCAUGAUCACGAAGGUGGUUUUCCCAGGGCGAGGCUUAUCCAUUGCAGUCCGGAUGUGCUGACCCCUGCGAUUUCCCCAAAUGUGGGAAACUCGACUGCAUAAUUUGUGGUAGUGGGGGACUGCGUUCGCGCUUUCCCCUG